rnacentral:rRNA from 1 species
AAUCUUCCGCAAUGGACGAAAGUCUGACGGAGCAACGCCGCGUGAGCGAAGAAGGCCUUCGGGUCNUAAAGCUCUGUUGUUAGGGANGAACAAGUAUCGGAGUAACUGCCGGUACCUUGACGGUACCUAACCAGAAAGCCACGGCUAACUACGUGCCAGCAGCCGCGGUAAUACGUAGGUGGCAAGCGUUGUCCGGAAUUAUUGGGCGUAAAGCGCGCGCAGGCGGUCUCUUAAGUCUGAUGUGAAAGCCCCCGGCUCAACCGGGGAGGGUCAUUGGAAACUGGGAGACUUGAGUGCAGAAGAGAAGAGCGGAAUUCCACGUGUAGCGGUGAAAUGCGUAGAGAUGUGGAGGAACACCAGUGGCGAAGGCGGCCUCCUGGGAUAACACUGACGCUCAUGCACGAAAGCGUGGGGAGCAAACAGG